rnacentral:tRNA from 1 species
CAAUUCAGAGCUUGUCUAGAAAGCAUUUUAUUUACAUUAAAAAGUUGUCGUGCAAUUCGAUAUGUUUUGA